ACCAGAAGGUCAUGGGAAGAUGCUCAGCGUGAGCUGCUGAGCAAUGCCUGCUCCGGCAAUCCCCCACCAAGGCAAUCCACAACCUCCAGAAGGGCCCUCGACUCCAGGACCAGGAAAGCCUGAAGGAUCUUGAAAGGAAUUGCAGCAACCCCUGAACCGUAGUCACCUCUGGGAUGGAAGAAGCCGGCUGAUUAACAACAUGCAGAAACAUGACGUUGCAUGGAGUGUUUAACCUGCGGCUGAGGCUGUCAGCACCUGCCCUUCCUUUAUGGCAAGAUGGGAAGGAGGAUCCACGUUACGGGAGCAGACCCCUGGCGCAGGGGGGACCGAGUCCUGCUGAGCCUCUCCCCGGCGAUGUCCCCGGCGCACCUGCGGCUCCGUCCCGCUGGAUGAAGCUGUGCGACGCAGUCGCCCACACGCUCACACGGCAUGGGAGCUCCCAGAGCUGCAAGCUCGUCUGCGAUUACCACGCUGACAAGAGCUCACGGAAAGCCAGGAUUCGCUUUCCCUGCGGCGGUCAGGAGGAGCCAGGAUAAGUUGUCUCCUUCUCUCUUUAACAGAAGAUACCAGAAUUUUCCUCCAGUGACCCAUGAUUUCACCUUCCACCUAAGACCCCUGUUUAUGGCACGUGAGAACAAGGCUGAAAGGAUGGUAUCAGAGUAAAAUGAGGACUGGGGGUAAUUAAUUUCUUCAGCUUCAGCGUGGAAGGCAGACGCAGGAGUCAGCUUCGAGCUGCUGCCCAGGGGUGUGAUCACAGCUCAGCUGGCAUCACGCUGCCGCGGCUCUGCAGGGACAGCUGAGCAGGGGGAUCACACAGCUCUGCUGCCUGGGUUCCCUUUCUGAAAGCAUUCCUAGGAGGGGUAUUUAAAGAAACAGAAAUUACAUCCUGUACACCCGAUAGUCGCGUGGAAUUUGUGAAAUGCAGCUACCUCUGGUGCGAAGAAAAGGAGGGCGACAGCAACCAGCACACAACAGAAAGGUGAAGACAAGAAAUAAAAGCCAGAUCCUCAUGAAAAGAUUUACCAGAGGAACCCUGGUAUCAAAGGAUCUUGACAGGACCAAAUUUCCCCCCCAAAAAACAGAACACAGUUUUAAUGUAAACAGAGCACAACAUUCAGAAGCAGCACCACCACCACAGGCACUCAAAGCAAUUAAGCGCUUGGCUCUUCACCACACAUUUUCUAGGAGACUAGAAAUGCACAGAGCCCAGCUUGCCUUGACCUACCCUGAUAAACCGCACUUACAAAAGGGCUGAGACCUCUGCCAGCUAUGCUCUACAGUCCAUAAAUACCUGCAUUUCUAUGCUACCCAACCCUGGCAAAUGGAAGGAGGAGCUGAAGAGACUGUACAAACAGCUUCAUAGAGGAUUAAUAUGCUCCUUUCUUCCCCAGCAAGCUCCCAGCUCGGAUCCAGCAGCUCCUUGCAGCCAAUGUUGCUAAUACACCGGUCGCCCGCCGCCCUCGGACAGAUCUUUCUGUAGCAACAGGGAAAGAAAUGAAUGAAAGAGGACGGUGUUCCUGACCUACUGCUCCCCACUCCAGCAGAGUUUACAGUACCAGCUACGGACUGGGUUUCUCCCCAGGACCGUGCUCUGGAGCAGCGGUACCACUGUUUGGCAUUAGGCACAUAAAACUCUUUGCAGCAGCGUUUCAAAUCUGUUUUAUUUAAAGCUCUGGAAGAGUCACAUGGUAGGAAGGUAGCGAGCAAACACUGCAAGUCUACUUUCCUGCCAAGGAUUGCACUAAUCUGGUAUUUAAUCUUAAACCAGUUGUGCACCCACCCUUGGAGGGCUUUGCGCACGUGUGUGUAUGGAUUUCUCCCUCAGAUGUGAGGGAAAUGCAGCCACACAGGUAGGGAGCAUGACGAGCCGAUGCUUGAGGAAUCAGAGGAUUUCAAAGCACAGCACAAACUGUAAUUACUUUUGGCAUCCCCAUCUCCCCCAUAGUGGGAAGAGUAAUGCUGCAAUAUCUUUUAUCCCGACCCUUCCUUAUCACAAUUACCGCAGGGGUGCUUAGAGCCCCAGCGGGGGGUGAGAUGUGCAGGUGGGCAUCCGUGUGAUCUUUCCGGCUUGGCGUUGCUUCCCAGAUCCAGAGCCCACACCUCAUCCUCACAAUGAGAGAAGGGAUUGCUCAAGUCCUCGCUCCAGCUGGUGAUCAGGGACCUCUGCUCCACUAAGCUGCUGUUCAUGCUGGAGGAAGGCAGAUUUUAAAAGCCUCCUGAAUCAAGAGGUGGCUGCCAGGGAUCCCAGUGUGAUAACAGCACCAUUUUGAGGCAGCGAACUUGGCAAGAGCUCCGUGUCGCUGCCUAGAUGCCAGGCUCUGAGAAACCCUUGCAUCAGCAUAAACAGCCUCCAGGGAUGGUUCUCCCUUGCCCCUGGCCCCUACACACGCACCACCCCGAAAGCCGACAGCGCUUUGCCUGCCUCGGGGGGAUGCACAACUUGUGCCCUGCUGCUGCAAACUCCGAAAGCUGGUCCUGUGCAGGGGGAUUUCACCUGCUCUCCUGUCCCCCGUGCUCCCUCCCCUCUCCCCAUUUCAAUGUUCAAGUUUUUGUCCAUAAUCUGAAGGGGCCAAGUGUCCCUGCCAUUCCUUCUCUGCCUUCUCAGAUCUCAGCGCUGAUACCGCCGCCAACACCACUACACUCCUUAUUUCUGCACAUGAAGCUUUUCCACUUUGCAAAGAGCCAGGGGUUGGGCAACACAGUGAAAACCAGACAUUGUCUGGGCCACAUGCAGGGAAGGAAUAAUGCAGAAACAAACACCAAAAGAGAUUUUCACAGUAGCAAAUGUCUCAGGGAAUGACUAGCGAAAGCAAAUGAGGCGGAUCCUCAAACAGUCCUGCUCCACCUGGGAUGUGACUAGCGCAAUCGACAUUAAAUGAGGGGCUCCCCCAGCUGGGUGGCAGCGCCUGAGAUCUGGGGGUUGCCAACCAGACUGGAUGUGUGCCCAUAUGGCAAAAGCCUCAGUAAGUGUCUUGCCUCCUCCACCAGCUUCCUCAGAAAGCGCUGGGAGAGCAGGAAGGCAGGAGGCUGGUCUGAGAUGCAGAGACACUGCAUCUCCUUUGCUCUUUGCUCCUCACGCCAAUGUCCCCCGGCGUACCUCCCUCCCCUGGGCAGCCCAGGACAGGGGCGUGCUUCGUGCUCGCAGAUCAGACCAUCCUGCUAUGUCCGUGCUGUUCAGAAAGCUCUUUACCAGGUAUUUUGCACCAGCAGCGCCAUUUUCCUUAAAUACAGGGAUGGUACAAGGAAGCUGUGGGAUUGCCCAAGAGCCCAGGCCCUGUGACGGUGCAAGUUCUCCAGGAGCCCAAACCCGGUGAGAUGCUGCCUUCCAGGAAACCUCUGUCCCUGAGAGAGCAGCACGUGCUUGGAGGGCACCCUGAGCCAUCCUGCACUGCCUGGAGACACCCACCUCCCUAAUAUCCUUACCCUGCCGCAGCUGAGCACCACCGUCACUACGACAUUUUCAUGUUAAACCAAACAUGGACACGUCUGGAUACCAAAUAGAGAUAUCCCAGAUGAAACAUGUAUAAACAGAUUAAGCAUGCCUCAAUGCCUGCAAAGCCCUGCUCACUUCCCUAUGGAGGGCAACAUUUCAUGCAUAUCUGGGAACUCGGCAAGCGCACACUGUUUAGAUAAACCUUGUUCCUUGUUAAACUGUAAAUAACAUCUGUUUUGCUGAGCCAAGCCAAGCCCCAGCUCGCUGCUCGGUGUCCUGAAAGUUGCCAGCCCAGUCAUGGGAAUGGCAGACAAAGCAAGUAUAUUUGGUGGUUUUUAAAAUAAAGAAUUU